UGCGUUCUGUAGCUUUUAUUAAUGAUAAAAAUCGAAUUUCGAUUGCUUCUAUUGAUUAAAAAUCAUUGUUCGAACCAAAAAAAACAGUGGAAUAAUUCCAAUAAAAUUGGGGAAGACGUUAGAAACGAGGAGAUCUCUGAAAUAUCGCUAGGCGAAACGCGCGAGAAGUUAGCUCAAGACGGCAAACUCGUUUAUAAAAAUAUCGAUCGCUUCGAACGAAAACAUCGCUCGCAAUACUGCUCGACAAAGAGAGGUUAACUUCUUCUCGAAGUUUUUCGCGCGUAUCGCGUAUUCGCGAUUUUCUUUGACUCGACAGCUCUAUAAUUUAAUUAUUUAUUACAUUAAUAAUGGCAUCAAGGAGACGAGCCGAGAGUAUUAAACGUCCGAGCCAGGGAAGCUAUGGCGGAACGGAGUAUCACAAAUGUGUAGGGCCGAUCAGCCAGCACGAUAAAGCACCCAAAGGGUUGAAAGUCGGACCAGGAACUGUUUCGAGCCUCGAGCCAUAGGAUAUCCGCACUGAAUCGACCAACAUGAAAGAAGACGACGGGGAUAUUAUUUUUCAAACCUAAAAAUAAUUUUGCAAUUAUUCCGAUUAUUUGGAUCGAUCUCGAUUUAUUUUUUUUUUUUUUUUUUUUUUAUAAGAUGCAAUUAAAUUAAAUUUUUCUCGAUGUAUAUUAUAAAUAUAUUUUUUUAAAUGUAUUUUAAUGUAGGUACAUGGAAAUUGCAGAUAAUACAGAAUAACAAGUUGGAAUUUUAUUUGUUUGAUGUUUUUAUUUUUUUUCCUUUCAUUUUUUUUUUCUUUUCUUUUCUUUUUUUUGGGGGGGACUAGAAUUUAUUAUUAUUAUUAUUUCAUUUAAUAACGAAAGAAACAAAAAAUUACAAGAUUGUGGAUUGUGAGAUCGAUAUUUAAAUUAUUAUUAUUUCGACGAGUAAGUAUCCUAGGAUACUUUUUGUGUUCUCGUUCUCGGGGAAAUUCGAACAUUGCUCUCUCUCUCUCUCUCUUUCUCUCUUUCACUCUCGCUCUCCGUUAAUACUGUCAUUCAACAAGGUGACUAGUAAAAAUUUAUUUUUUUUCCCCCUCCCCUCUCUCUCUCUCUCUCUCUUUCCUUUCAAUUGAAAUGCACAAAAUAAGUGUGGCAUUUUUACAUAUGCAAAUGAUAUUCUUUCUUCCUUUUUUUUCCUUUUUUUUUUUUUUUUUCCAUAUUCCACAUACAUACA